GCAUGGCUGAGUACUGUGUUCUUUUUAUCAGUUGUUUACAUAGCCAGACAUCAUGGGAAAAAAAAAACAAAA
ensembl:snoRNA